GAGGAUACAGCUCAGCAGCACAGCACCUGCCUGACAAGCACAAGGUCCUGAGUUUGAUCCCCAGUAUCCCCA
rnacentral:tRNA from 1 species